rnacentral:rRNA from 1 species
GCAGCAUGGUCUUAGCUUGCUAAGGCCGAUGGCGACCGGCGCACGGGUGAGUAACACGUAUCCAACCUGCCGUCUACUCUUGGGCAGCCUUCUGAAAGGAAGAUUAAUACAAGAUGGCAUCAUGAGUCCGCAUGUUCACAUGAUUAAAGGUAUUCCGGUAGACGAUGGGGAUGCGUUCCAUUAGAUAGUAGGCGGGGUAACGGCCCACCUAGUCUUCGAUGGAUAGGGGUUCUGAGAGGAAGGUCCCCCACAUUGGAACUGAGACACGGUCCAAACUCCUACGGGAGGCAGCAGUGAGGAAUAUUGGUCAAUGGGCGAGAGCCUGAACCAGCCAAGUAUCGUGAAGGAUGACUGCCCUAUGGGUUGUAAACUUCUUUUAUAAAGGAAUAAAGUCGGGUAUGGAUACCCGUUUGCAUGUACUUUAUGAAUAAGGAUCGGCUAACUCCGUGCCAGCAGCCGCGGUAAUACGGAGGAUCCGAGCGUUAUCCGGAUUUAUUGGGUUUAAAGGGAGCGUAGAUGGAUGUUUAAGUCAGUUGUGAAAGUUUGCGGCUCAACCGUAAAAUUGCAGUUGAUACUGGAUAUCUUGAGUGCAGUUGAGGCAGGCGGAAUUCGUGGUGUAGCGGUGAAAUGCUUAGAUAUCACGAAGAACUCCGAUUGCGAAGGCAGC